rnacentral:rRNA from 1 species
AAACCAGCACCUCAAGUGGUCAGGAUGAUUAUUGGGCCUAAAGCAUCCGUAGCCGGCUCUGUAAGUUUUCGGUUAAAUCUGUACGCUCAACGUACAGGCUGCCGGGAAUACUGCAGAGCUAGGGAGUGGGAGAGGUAGACGGUACUCGGGAGGAAGGGGUAAAAUCCUUUGAUCUCUCGAUGACCACCUGUGGCGAAGGCGGUCUACCAGAACACGUCCGACGGUGAGGGAUGAAAGCUGGGGGAGCAAACCGGAUUAGAUACCCGAGUAGUCC